rnacentral:lncRNA from 1 species
GAAAUCACCUGGAUUCCGACGAAGAUUAGACCAGCAGAUCAAGCAGUUCAAUACUCACAUUCUUCACCGUUCCUCCACCACCUUGACCUGCUUUCGCUCCUUUUAUUCCUCCUUGACAUGCUCCGCCGCCACCACCAACUCGACCUCCUUCUGUUGUGGCUGGUAGUACUCCUUCGCCGUUACUAUUUCUCUCUGUUCUGGUAGUCCUCCUCCUCCUUCCGUUGCUUGAGUUACUCCCGCCGCAUCUGUUUGUGCUCCGUUUGGGUUUUGGGGUGGGAUAGGGUACCCUCGGAGAGGGAUUUCAGUCAUUUUGAAGAAAGCGAAGAUGACUAUAACCACAUAGAACCCAAUCCAGCACCAAAUCUUGCUAUCCUCUCCGACGUCUUUAAGGAUUAUCUUAUGGUUAUUAAU